AAGCCCAGGAUGACAGUUUAUUUGCCCUCACAAAAGUUAGUCCUGCUGCUGCCCCUUUCCUCUGGAGGUUGUUGGUGGGGUCAUUACAGAGAUCUCUGUUUGCCACACUGCAUCUCCACUGGUGGGACCUGUCCUCUUUUACCUAGCCUGGCUGUGUCCUCCUGCAGCUGAAGUCAGCCAAAGGUGGAUGCAUUGAUGAUGCCACUGUGUUAAUCAUGGUGUUAAAGCAGAAGAAUGCAUCUUGCCUGUGUCAGCACAAGUGAUUGGCUUGGGAAGACUAUACAGGACCUUGUAUGAGCACAGCUGCAGGUGAUACACCUAUUUCUGCAGGUAUCUACAGUUCCAAACCAGACUUGGGACUUCAGGUAACUCUCAGAAAGGAAAGUCUCUGGCUCAGAGCAAAAGCCACCCUAGGACUGUGGGACUCUCAUUCAUCUGACAGUGGAGGAAAAUCGCCCACAGGAUCCUGGGAGAGGGAUGCUGCUGCUGUGUCUGCACUGAGGCCAUGGCCUGGCCCUGUGGCUGAGGUGUGGAAGGGCUCUGCUCCCACAGAUGAAGGGAUGAGCUGCCUGCAGGAAAUCGCCUGGUUUAGCUUCUUCUCCCUGAUGUUUAUGCAAGGAGCCCAUUGCUGUGCUGUCUGACUCCAGAGUGCCCAUGUGAGGGCUGACAACCCCAAAAGUGCAGUGCCCACAUUCCCAGGGCCAAUUCCCUCUGCCUCACAUAGGCAGGCAGUGUCAAACCAGGUAAGGGGGGAAAUAUUAGAAAUUUAGCAACUUAGCACAUGUGCAAACGUGCCAACAGGCAGGAGUCCUCAGAGCAAUAAGAUAAAACAUUUCAAGUUACAGAACAAAAUAUUUUUUCUGGGGUACUGAAAUACAUGUCUUUAAUGUGCUGUUACUGAGGUUUAGUGGCAAACCAGAAGGCUGUUUAAAAAAUCCUUGCUUCAUGUUGCUGUAGUCCACAUCAUUGCCCAACAUAUCAUGAAAGACAAUAUUAUCCAGCUUUUGAAUUGGUUCAAUACCAAUUACUUUUCUGCUUCAAAUAUCAAGAAGCAUUUUUCAAAAAAAUUGGUUUUGCUUAGGUGUUACAGAAAAUAAAAUUAGCAAACAUCAGAACUCUGUCUUGGGA
rnacentral:lncRNA from 1 species